AUGAACGCUGGCGGCGUGUCUAAGGCAUGCAAGUCGAACGACGUGUUCCCCGCAAGGGGAACAACGAGUGGCAAACGGGAGCGUAACACAUUGGUAACCUCCCUCCGAGACGGGCACAACUCUUCGAAAGAGGAGCUAAUUCCCGAUGGUCAUGCGGGGACAUAAGUCAUUCGCAUGUAAAUGAAUUUCGCUCGGAGAGGGACCUAUGGUCCAUCAGCUAGUUGGUGAGGUAAUGGCUCACCAAGGCUAUGACGGAUAGCGGGUGUAAGAGCACGACCCGCCUCACUGGGACUGAGACACUGCCCAGACAUCUACGGAUGGCUGCAGUCAAGAAUAUUCCCCAAUGGACGAAAGUCUGAGGGAGCGACGCCGCGUGCAGGAAGAAGGCCUUCGGGUCGUAAACUGCUUUUAUGUGGGACGAACAAAUGACGGUACCACAUGAAUAAGAGGUUGCUAACUCUGU
rnacentral:rRNA from 1 species